UACAGAGGUCUCAAGCGUUGUUCGGAUUCACUGGGCUUAAAGGGCGUGUAGGCGGGCUGUCCAGUCUGGGGUGAAAUCCCACGGCUCAACCGUGGAACUGCCUCAGAUACUGACGGCCUCGAGGGAGAUAGGGGCAUGCGGAACUGUAGGUGGAGCGGUGAAAUGCGUUGAUAUCUACAGGAACUCCGGUGGCGAAGGCGGCGUGCUGGAUCUCUUCUGACGCUGAGGCGCGAAAGCUAGGGGAGCAAACGGG
rnacentral:rRNA from 1 species